GCAAUUCUAAUUCAAGUUUCCGGCCAGCGGGCGGAACGAGGAGAGGCUCCGGCAAUCAUAGCACCGCGGUCGAGGUUAAUGGGGACGGACUGUAAAUUCGUUUUUCAUUAUUUUUUUUAAUAAUUUAUUUUUCUGAAUUGUUUUUGUGAGGAUUUUUGUGUGUCUUUGAUUCAUUGAUAACUCGAAUGAGCAAUCAUGAUGAAGAAGAAGAAGUUUUUUUUUUUCCAUUUUUUCUUUGUUAAAAUCCUAUACAAAAAAAAACAAAUUCAAAAGCUAAAACCCU
rnacentral:sRNA from 1 species